rnacentral:rRNA from 1 species
AGAGUUGAUCAUGGCUCAGGAUGAACGCUAGCUACAGGCUUAACACAUGCAAGUCGAGGGUAGCAGGGUAGCAAUACCGCUGACGACCGGCGCACGGGUGAGUAACACGUAUCCAACCUUCCCAUAACUCAGGGAUAGCCUUUCGAAAGAAAGAUUAAUACCUGAUAGUACUUUUUCAAGGCAUCUUGAAAAAGUUAAAGAUUUAUUGGUUAUGGAUGGGGAUGCGUUCCAUUAGAUAGUUGGUGAGGUAACGGCUCACCAAGUCUUCGAUGGAUAGGGGUUCUGAGAGGAAGGUCCCCCACAUUGGUACUGAGACACGGACCAAACUCCUACGGGAGGCAGCAGUGAGGAAUAUUGGUCAAUGGGCGAGAGCCUGAACCAGCCAAGUAGCGUGAAGGAUGAAAGGUCCUAUGGAUUGUAAACUUCUUUUAUAGUAGAAUAAAGUGAUCCACGUGUGGAUUUUUGUAUGUAUACUAUGAAUAAGGAUCGGCUAACUCCGUGCCAGCAGCUGC